rnacentral:sRNA from 1 species
CAUUCCAGAAGAAAAAAGGCUUGAGCUGUCUGUUGAAAACAUCCACCAAGACUGGCUUGAGAGUUCCGGAAUACCAAAGCCGCUGCAGAGGGAGCGUCGCGCCGGGGCGGAGUGCGGGCUCGCGCGGCAAGUGCGCGCCGAGGUCACGAAAUGGAUUCGAGUGAACCGGAGACCCCGAAAACGGAAGCGCAGGGAGAAGGAAGAGGUGUUUGAAAAGCUUCUUCCAGACCAGCUGGUCUUGCUUCUGGAGCAUCUCUUGGAGCAGAAGACUCUGAGCCCCCGAACUCUGCAAAGCCUCCAGAGGACAUACCACCUCCAGGAUCAGGAUGCAGAGGUAACCAGGAACACUCUCGGAGUUUAACCAGCAGGUCCCCACUGUUGGUGAAGAAUGGUGAUCCCAUUGCAGUCCCAAACUAUUGAAACCACCAUUUCUAUUAGCAAAA